GAUGAACGCUAGCGGCAGGCCUAAUACAUGCAAGUCGAACGAUAUUUUCCAGCUUGCUGGGAGAGAAAGUGGCGCACGGGUGCGUAACGCGUAUGCAACCUACCUUUAUCAGGGGGAUAGCCCGGAGAAAUCCGGAUUAAUACCGCAUAAAAUCACAGAACGGCAUUGUUCAAUGAUCAAACAUUUAUGGGAUAAAGAUGGGCAUGCGUGUCAUUAGCUAGUUGGCGGGGUAACGGCCCACCAAGGCGAAGAUGACUAGGGGAUCUGAGGGGAUGGCCCCCCAAACGGGUACUGAGACACGGACCAGACUCCUGCGGGAGGAAGCAGUAAGGAAUAUUGGUCAAUGGAGGCGACUCUGAACCAGCCAUGCCGCGUGCAGGAAGACCGCCCUAUGGGUUGUAAACUGCUUUUAUCCGGGAAUAAACCUCCGAUCGUGAUCGGAGCUGAAUGUACCGGAAGAAUAAGGAUCGGCUAACUCCGUGCCAGCAGCCGCCGUAA
rnacentral:rRNA from 1 species